rnacentral:rRNA from 1 species
UGGGGAAUAUUGGACAAUGGGCGCAAGCCUGAUCCAGCCAUGCCGCGUGAGUGACGAAGGUCUUCGGAUUGUAAAGCUCUUUUGGCGGGGACGAUAAUGACGGUACCCGCAGAAUAAGCCCCGGCUAACUUCGUGCCAGCAGCCGCGGUAAUACGAAGGGGGCUAGUGUUGUUCGGAAUUACUGGGCGUAAAGCGCACGUAGGCGGACUGAUAAGUCAGGGGUGAAAUCCCGAGGCUCAACCUCGGAACUGCCUUUGAUACUGUUAGUCUCGAGUCCGGAAGAGGUGAGUGGAAUUCCUAGUGUAGAGGUGAAAUUCGUAGAUAUUAGGAAGAACACCAGUGGCGAAGGCGGCUCACUGGUCCGGUACUGACGCUGAGGUGCGAAAGCGUGGGGAGCAAACAGGAUUAGAUACCCGCGUAGUCCCUGAGCGGGCUGGCAAGGCGCAU